rnacentral:rRNA from 1 species
UACGGGGGGAGCAAGCGUUGUUCGGAUUUACUGGGCGUAAAGGGCGCGUAGGCGGCCACCGCAAGUCGGUUGUGAAAUCUCUGGGCUUAACCCAGAAAGGUCAACCGAUACUGCGGGGCUAGAGUGCAGAAGGGGCAACUGGAAUUCUCGGUGUAGCGGUGAAAUGCGUAGAUAUCGAGAGGAACACCUGCGGCGAAGGCGGGUUGCUGGGCCGACACUGACGCUGAUGCGCGAAAGCUAGGGGAGCAAAUGGG